rnacentral:snRNA from 1 species
AAAAGGAGGGAGGGAAACAGACAACAUAGUCAUAAAGGUGAUUUUCCGAGGUGAGGCUUGUCUUAACAUUCUGGAUAUGCUGAGCCCUGUGACCUCCCCAGGUGUGGGAAUGUCCUCUGCAUUGUUUGUGGUAGUGAGGGACAGCAUUUGUGCUCUGUCUUA